CCGGCAUCUACGAACUUUUGAAUCAAAUUGUCUUUCAAGUCAAAUAGACCUACAUUUGACAUUCAGAUCGCAGCUUUGCAGCUCGCUGUUGGUGCAACUUUGAGCAAGCCAGUGAUCCUCCCUGAGUCUACAUUUCUUCACCUGCAAAAUGGGUUAGUAAUACUUAUAGGGCUAUGAUGAGAAUUCAUUGAGGCAAUGUUUCUAGCAACUGUCAACAUAGGCCUUACACAUCGGGGACAGUAAAUACAUAUCACUUGUCCUUCACACCUUCUGGCUCCUUCCUUUCCAUGGAGUGAUCCCCUUAGGCCUUACUGUAAAGAGGAUAUGCUGGAGUGGGGAGAGAGGUUGUAUGCUGUGUUUGCUUUUUAUAGGUUUUCUAUCUUUACCCCUGUGAUCAGACUCUCAUGUGUUAUGUCUUGCUGCUUUUAGUGUCUUUUCAUUAGCAGCCUUUUUCUCCCUUAAAUAUGCUGCAUUUAAUCUUACACCAGCUAGAAAACCAGACAAAUGGAUUGUUAGAAGUAUAUAUAAAUUAAGAGUAACUGUGAUCUGAGUGAGAGCCCUAGGGCCUCUCCUGUUGUAUAACGUAGUAGUUCUCAACUGUGGCUGCACAUUAGAAUCACCUGGAGAGCCUUUAAAGCACAUCCAUGCCUAGGUCCCACCCCAGGCCAAUUACAUCAGAUUCUCUGGCAGUGGGGCCCAGGCAUGGAUGUGUUUAAAAACUCCACGUGUGAUUCUCAUGUGCACUGCUUCUCAGCAGUGGUUGAGUGCACUCGGCUUUGACAGAUCUGGAUUCACUGAAGAGAAGUCUGGUUCUCUCCCAGAAUGUGUCCCAAAUCUAGGAGGUUGCCCCAAGGAGACCAGAUGGUGGGGAGGUUCAGGGGUGCUGAAGCUGCUGUUGUGCUUCAUAAAGAAAGCAGCUCUAGCUGGGCACCUUUAAUCCCAGGGAUUUGGGAGGCUGAGGCAGGAAGAUCCCAAGAUCUGGGCCAGCCUGGGUAAUUUAGUAGGACCUUGUUGCAAAAAAACAAAAAGGAGGGAUGUAGCUCAGUGAUUCAAUCUCCAGCACCAAGAAAAAGAAAGAAAACAAAGCAAACAGCUCUAACUAAUGUCUCUAAAAGAGGGCAUUCCUCUGGUAUUUGCAAAUGAUUUCAAUUGCUCUUUUUUGAAAAGGAAGGAAGGAAGGAAGGAAGGAAGGAAGGAAGGAAGGAAGGAAGGAAGGAAGGAAGGAAGGAAAAAUAGAGCCAUCCCUGUCCCCUCACUGAUGUAGUUCCUCCUACCUCCAGGGGCUCUCUGGGACCAGGAUGACUUUGACUCCUAGGGAGAGUAGGACAUUAUGAGAAACAAACCUUGAAAAAAUAGCUUUGUUUUUUUUAUUUGCAUUUUAUUUGAUUGUGUAUUUGGUCUAUUUUUCUCUUGGUCUCGUCCCCUCAAAACGCAUGGAUUUCGAGCCUUCUUAGUGCCCAGCUUCACUGGAUCCACUUUGUAUACAGAUGGAGCCACUCUAUCCCAAAGGCAGGCUAACUUGAACCAACUACUGGUGGACCACUUUGUCUCCUGGCAAAACAGUCAUGAAGUCCAUACAGGUGCUGAGGAUUGAACCUGAUGCCUCACAUGUACUAGAGAGACCUCACUGCAAUCCAUCAGAAUGGCCUUUGCCUGUUGAUUGCAACCAAACAAAAUGUAGCAGAGUACUACAGAACCGUGGGGUCUGAGUGAGAUGUGCUGGAAGAGUUCCCUAAUGCUGACUGUCUGCAUUCCUGGAGGUUGGAUGGCCAUCAUCCUAUGUUCCUUAUACUUACCUGUCGGAUAACCCCAGGAUUCCUGGACUUCUGACCAGCAGUGGAGACAGUGCUGCACCAUCUAGGCAUUCUGAAAAUGUAUUCAUGUUUGUUAUAUGGUUGGGGGCACUACUUGGGUGGAGGCAGAGGGGAGACAGACUUCCUACUACAGGUGGGACAGUCUUAUACAAUGAAGAUUUGUUCUGCAUUCCAUAUGUGUUUGUAUGCCCCCCAGAUGUUCAUGUAGGUAGAAACCUCUUUAUAUUGGUCCAAACCUAGAACCUAAUUCCAUUUUGCACAAAAUACUUUUUGCACAAUUUUGAUAUGCACUGAAUUUUUCAUGAAUGCAACCAUCAUAUAAAUAGAAUACUACAUUUUGUCUACAACAGAGUUGUUCACCAUUUAAGAAAGCCACAAUACCAACAGCAAAAUGUUCAUGGUAUUUGAGUUGCUGAAACAACACAUCUUUAUUCCUCUGCCUUCAAAGAUGAAUAGUGAUUCUACCUAUCUGUAUGAAUAUAUAGUACUUAUUUAGUCUUGUUUCAGAAACAUUAAAUAUAAAGAAGUACCUAUAAUGUUCCAAUAAAUAUUGCUUUACUUCUUUAAAUUCAAAUGUAUUCAUUAUAAGUAGGUGUAAUCAUCCAACUACUUCAUUAUCUCCUCUAGUAUAGUUAUGUUCAAGCAUUUAUAGAUUAUAAUGCAUAUUAUGAAUUUUUUGCAGUGCUGGGAUUGAAAAUGUAUAUUAUUUUAUUUUCUUUUUAGUUCUUUAUCCUUUAGUCAGAAUAGUAUAUUGAUCCUUCCACCCCCAAUACUAGGGGUUUAACCCAAGGACACUCUACCACCGAGCGCCAUCUCCAGUCCUUUUUGUUUUGAGGCAGUAUCUCUCCAAGUUGCCCAGCUUGACGUUGAACUUGCGAUCCUACUCCCUUAGAUUUCUAAGUGUCUGGGAUAUUACGGGUUUGUGCCACUGUGCCCAACCAGUAUAUAGAUUUUUUAAAAGAAUGUGUGAGUUUUGUGGCUGGGUUUGUGGCUCAGCGGUAGAGCGCUUGCCUAGCACGUGCAAGGCCCUGGGUUCAAUCCU